GCAGUUGUAACGCGGGAACAGGUGCAGCUGUCGCCUCAGUCCUCGUGUGUGUCACCCGGGGAAAACCAUUUUACAUCUCACCAUUUUGUCUCCAAAUAGUAUCAACUUUGUGGCCAGUUAGACCUUUGGGCCUUGGAUCAGUUCCCUGUUGGCCCAUACCUAAAGACGACACUGUAUCUAAGUGAAGCAAUAACAGCUGUACACACCACCUCUCUUCACAUCCUUUGUUCACUCUCAUCAUGAACAGUUCUUACUUCAACCUUGGGGAAUAUUUGUAAUUGAAGACGCGCUAAGUCACUGACCCGAUAUACGAGGUUGAUUGUUCGUCAGUCUCAGAUCGUGUUGCCCCAAUUGGUGUCUGGUCGACCAGUUCAAGGGAUGCCGGUGAACGGCUAUAGACUCGAUGGCACAUUCGUUAGUCCCUCGCCGGAUCCUGAAGUAGCCGUCCUCGCCUACAGUUGCUCUCUCACGAGUUCCUUGCCGUCCAGAACUUCUCCCCUGUGCUCUCCUCCACCCCGAACCCGACGAUCAGCACCGCGUGGCUCACUUUCUACAAAUUAGUGUCCGUCAGCGUACAUACUGGAUGUCUACUUUCCAUUUUACUGGUCAACCUUAAAACACCAUGUUUUAUAUAAACACUUUAAAUGGGUUAAAUAAACAAUGAAUUACA